AUGCUGUGCAAAAGUUUCACCCGGACACCUGGAUUCCCUUUCAAAAGCUGUGCGAUUUUCACAUUCUGCACACACAGAUGGAAAUAAUCUGAGGAAAUCCUUAUUGGGUAGCAACAAGAGGAAGAAAGAAUGAGGCACACGUGAUAGCGCUGUCAUGGACACCAUGGGUGCAAAAAUGAGGAUACUGAGACUCAAAGUGGUGAAGAGACUUAUCCAAUGUCAUAAGCUGGGAGCUAGGGUAUGACCCAAGCAGAACCUGUACACUGGAGCCCAGGAUUACUGACAAAGGACACACCUUCUCUAGCCCCUCCUGGUGGACUUCCUCAGCUACGAAGUGCUAUUAUCAUCUCCUAGAGCUGUGGUGAGAAUUAACUAAAAUAACAUGGAUGAAGCUCUUGCGCGGCACCUGGCACAUGCCCAACCUGACUGCUGUGUUCUGCCCUGAGUCUGCAGAGGCUGACCCUGGCCAGGAAAGUGGUUGGAAAAGCAUUUUUGCAGAGAGGCAGCCUGAAGGUGGUGGCUCUAUCGGGGCAAAGAACUGUAAGCAGAGACAAAAUGAAAGCCCUCUAGGCCCACAAUUGAUUCUAACGGCUGUGAGGGAAUGAGCUUCAACUACUGUUGAUGGGAGGGACUGUGUGCCAGGCACUGUGCUAGGGACUCUCAUGCAUGAUCUCAUUCAUCUUCUGCAUAACCCAAUGAGGUAUGAUCUACUAUCAAGUGUCUACAUUUGUAUUGGAUUGGUAUGUGUGCCCAACAAAGAAAGUGUCAUUUUUCCUUGGGAAUGAAAUCACAUCAUUUGUGAAGACUUAGUAGAGGCUAAAUGAGUACAAGCAGCAUUUACCUUAUUAAACAGAUAUUUUCAACAUUUAAAACAGUCUGACCAUCAAUGAUGAUGUUCAAAAACAUCUCAAGAUGUUUUAGAGCUAAAGCAAAUGAGAAAAUAUAGUAAAGGGCUGAUUCCUGUGGAUAUUCUGCAAAGGAAAGUAACAUGGUGGAGUGGAAGUGGGAUAAGGUUUGAAGCCAAAAGACCUGGUGGGCUUAAGGUCUCCAUUUAUUGGUUGUGUGACCUUGGAUAAGCCACUUCACCUCCUGGUGAGACUUGGGCAAAAUGGAGAUCAUAUUAAUCACCUCACAGUUUGUUACGCAUUGAGUAAAUGCACAUGUAAGCAUUAUUGACUGUAAAUGAUUAUGCAUAUUUUAAUUAUGGUAUAUCCAAGCCUGAUUUUUCAUCCAGUGCUUACAGUGCCCUGGGCAUAAUACUCAUUCAAUAAACAUUUGUUUGAUGAUAGAGUAAUAAAUGAAUAUGUGAUGCAGAAGUUUUAAAAAUAUUUUUGCUGCUGUCUGACUCAUUUAUAGACAUUUAUAAAAUUGAGGAUUUGUAAGUUGUCCCUGGACAAUCAGAUCUCUUGAUUCAAAGGUGAAAGAUAAUCAUUCAGGUUUUCAAGUUUUUCCUGAUAUGAGACAUUAACUGGCAGGGCUGAUUAUGAGAAAUUGUCAUUAUCCUGCUCAAAUAUAAGAUCAUAGAUUUGGGAAACCUUAGAAAUAAUUACCUUCUUUUCAAAUAUGAGGAAACUGAAGCCCAGAGGCUCUAAGAAAUCAGGGACUUUAUAUAAUUUUUUCAUUUCUCUAGCUCUAGGGUAAUUGUAGAUAGAUAUACAACAAGUAUGUUUUUAAAAGUAUAUUUUUCAAGAAUUAUGCUAAGCACUGGGGAAAUAAACAUUAACAAGACAAAACCCUCCCCUUUGAGGAACUGAUAAUCUAGACAGACAUGAAAACCAGGAAGUGUGCUAUCAGUUAUAUUAAUGUUGUACAGAGUUCUAGUGGCAAGAGGGAACUGCCAAGGGAAAUCUGAGAGGAGGUGUUUACCCUGCGUAAACACCUUGCUGUUUAGCUUGGCAUCCCUAGAAGCAGACCCUGAGGACAGUGGGAAAAUGGAUUAUUAAGGAAGUGCUCCUGAGAGAAACCAGAAAGGGGGUGUAGGGAGCAAGGGAGGAUAAGGAGAAGACUCCAGUAAGGAUGAGAUUACUCAAGUCCCAUGGAAGACAGGUUAGCCUGAUCCUGCAGGGGAGCCCUGGAGGACUUAACAUCUCUGGAAAGCCAGAAAUCAGAGAUACAGAGAAGUAUUGAAAUGCUGAAAUGCUAUGAAUUUACUAUAAGAGAACAUUCUUCACUGAAGAGAUCUCUAGCUGCCAAAACACCCUUUCAUGCGUGAAAUACCGGGGCAAAGAGGAAGGAAAAGAGAAGAGUAUGACUCUAGGAACCAUGUUGCAGAAAUGCCAAAGGGUGGGACAAACAAAGUUACUAAUGUGGAGAAAGAAGAUUAUCAUGUGUGGAACGAAGGACAAUAUGAACAUUAAAUAAUGCCCUGACUCAUUCCAAAAAGAAUCUGAGAUGACCAAUAAAGCCAUUUUUAAUUGUUUAUUAGUGAACAAUAGAUUAUGAGUGCUAAAGGGAUUCAGGAAGAAGAAAGAUCAGUGCAGAGUAGAGAAGUCUGAUGGAUGCAUUGAAGAAGCUAUGCUUGAGCUGAAAUGACAAGAGAGCUGUUUUUCGCUUUCAGAAUUAUUAUGUGGCAAUGGUAAUUGACAACAGAGAAGCUGAAGGGAGGAAGUCACUUUAUGGGAGCAGAGUCACUCUCAAGUAAUAGCUGGCCAUACAGAUUGCUCUGGACCAAGGGUGAAUGUGAAGAAGAAAAGACCGGCCAGCAACACAAUGGAAUAUCUAGAGUCAUAUUGAGGGAAAUACUUAGAUUGCUGAUUUCUUAGUGGAUUUCACAAGCAGAGCUGCUUGUGAGCAGAAUGGUGAAGUAGGGGCAUGUGUUUCUGGGGUCUUAUUCCAUGGCUUCCUUCCACCUACAAGAGUCAUCCUCACGGAGUACUUGCAUUUCAGUAGAAGAAAAAAAUCUUAUAGAUGGAAGGGAAGGAUGGGGUUCCUGCUUUAGGAAGAUUGGCAUGGUCAUAAGUCUGAGCAAGGAAGGGCCCAGGGCAGCUCAGAGCUCUGAGCAGGAAGCUCUAAUUAGUUACUGAAUAUGGUGCAAGCACAAAGAGAGCGUAGUGUUUUCCCUUUCCAUCUGUGGAAGUCUUGGCCAUGCUUACUUGGGCGUUCCUUCCAGGAAACAUUUAUUUUUCCUCUUUAAUGCCCUCCUCAUAUCUAUGCUCUCAGUAGAGGAUGCCACUGCUUCUGGCACCUGGAUAAUAGAAUGAAGCUGAUUGGGAUGGAAACAGAAAAGUCAUCUCUCAGAACAAUGAGCAGAGACUGAAACUCCCUUGUACCCAGUCCCUGUGCACUGCUGUUCAUAGCCAAAUGGGCAAGGCCUUGCCAAAUGUCAUGUUGAGGUGAGGCCCUAAGUGAUAGAAAAAUAAAAAAUGACUAUGGCCACUUGCAUGUUCAGAGAAUUCAGUUUAGAAAAUGCUAUGCUGGGAGGAUCUCUCUUAAUAUCUUGUUUGCAUCAGAAUGUUCAAGUUGCAAUAUAUGUUUUUGUUUUGUGUAUUUAUUUAUUUUCCUCUACUCUAUUCUGUUAAGUCUUUUAGGGCAAAGGUAGGGUAGUCUAUACUCCCUGCGUUAUCCAUAAUGCCUAGCACUGUGUCUUGUACAUAAAAGGUCAUAAUAAAUACCUGUUGGCUAGAUAGAUGAAUGGAUAGAGUGCCUCAUUUAGAAGCAUUAUACUUCUAUGGAAAAAAAUUUUUAAAUGUAUUUUUUUCUAUGAGAUAACACAGUUCCUGAAUAGGUCAUGGGCAGGUGCUAUUCAAGUUUGCGAAGGAAAGGUUUUCCUAGAGUUAGGGUAAUUUUUUCCUCAAAUAAGAAAAACCUACAGUAAAUAAUUACUCUCCAUAUUAUCUUUAGGUUUCUUGCCAGUAUUAACAUCUUUUUUAUUGUAAGUGAUGAUAUUGUCUGUGAGAACAUUACAGUAGGUUAGUAUCCUGGGUUAAGCUAAGUGUUGUUGAAAAUAAUCCUGGACAUCCAAACAGGAAGAGAGGAAGUCAAACUAUUCCUGUUUGCAAAUAACAUGAUUCUAUAUCUAGAAAACCCUGUAAUGUCAGCCCCAAGGCUCUGUGAGAUCAGAGAUAAAUAACCUCAGCAAAGUCAACAUACAAACAUCAGUAGCAUUCCUUAUACAAACAACAUCCAAGCUGAUGGCCAAAUCAGGAUGCAAUCCCAUUCACAAUUGCCCCCCCAAAAAUAUAAAAUACUUAGGAAUACAGCUAACCAGGGAUGUGAAAGAUCUCUAUAAUAAGAAUUACAAAACACUGCUCAAAAAAUCAUAGAUGACACCAAAAAUUGGAAAAAUAAUCCAUGCUCAUGGAUUGGAUGAAUCAAUAUCAUUAAAAUGGCCAUACUGCCCAAAGCAAUUUACAGAUUUCACAGAUUCAGUGCUAUUCCUAUCAAAAUAUCAAUGACAUUUUUCGUGGAAUUAGAAAAAACUAUUUUAAAAUUGACAUGGAACCCAAAAGGGACCCCGAAUAGUCGAGGCAAUCCUAAACAAAAAGAACAAAGCUGGAGGUAUUAUAUUACCCAAUGUCAACAUAUACUACAGGGCUAUAGUAACCAAAAGAGCAUGGUACUGGUACAAAAACAGACACAUAGACCAAUAGAACGUAAUAAAGAGCCCAGAAAUAAUGUCACACCACUUACAACCAUCUGAUCUUCAAUAAAGCUGACAAAAACAAACAAUAGGGAAAAGAUUCCUCAUUCAAUAAAUGGUGCUGGGAUAACUGGCUAGUCAUAUGCAGAAGAUUGAAACUGGACACCCCACCUUACACUACAUACAAAAAUCAGUGUAAGAUGAAUUAAAGGCUUAAAUGUAAAACCUAAAACUAUAAAAACCCUGAAAGAUAACCUAGGAAAUACCAUUCUGGACAUAGAACUUGGCAAAGAUUUCAUGAUGAAGACAACAAAAGCAAUUGCAACAAAAACAAAAAUUGACAAAUGGGAUCUAAUUAAACUGAAGAGCUUCUGAACAAAAAAAGAAACUAUCAACAGAGUAAACAGACAACCUACAGAAUGGGAGAAGAUAUCUGCAAACUAUGCAUCCAACAAAGGUCUAAUAUCCAGAUGCUGUAAGGAACUUAAAUUUAUAAGCAUAAACAAACAACCCCAUUAAAAAGUGGGCAAAGGACAUGAAGAGAUACUUUUCAAAAGAAGACAUAUAUGUGGCCAACAAGCAUAUAAAAAAUGCUCAACAUCACUAAUCAUUAGAGAAAUGCAAAUUAAAACCACAGUGAAAUACCAUCCCACACCAGUCAGAAUGGCUAUUAUUAAAAGUUGAAAAAUAAUAGGUGCUAGCAAUGUUGUGGAGAAAAGGGAACACUUAUACACCACUGAUGGGAAUGUAAAUUAGUUCAGCCACUGUAGAAAGCAGUUGGGUGAUUCCUCAAAGAACUUAAAAAAACAGAGUUACCAUCCAACCUAGCAACCCCAUUAUUGGGUAUAAUCCAAAGGAAUAUAAAUUGUUCUAUCAUAAAGACACAUGCACAUGUAUAUUCAUUGCAGCACUAUUCGCAAUAAGAAAGAUAUGGCAUCACCCUAAAUGCCCAUCAGUGGUAGACUGGAUAAAGAAAAUGUGGUGCAUAUACACCAUGGAAUACUAUGCAGCCAUAAAAAACAAUGAGAUCAUGUCCUGUGAAGCAACAUGGAUGGAUCUGGAAGCCAUUAUCCUAAGCAAACUAACACAAGAACAGAAAACCAAAUAUGGCAUGUUCUUACAAGUGGAAGCUAAACAAUAGGAACACAUGGAUAUUAGAAGGGUAACAGAAGAUAUUGGGGCCUACUUGAGGGUGGAAAGUGGGAGGAAGGAGAGGAUCGGAAAAAUACCUAUUGGGUACUAUGUUUAUUACCUGGAUGAUAAAAUUAUCUGUCACCAAACCCCUGUGACAUGCAGUUUACCUAUAUAACAAACCUGCACAUGUACCCCUGAGCCUAAAAUAAAAGUUUAAAAAAAAAAAAGAAAAUACACCUGGACCCUAUUUUGAAAGACAUACUGUAGACUUGAGGGAGGAAGAGCAGAGGGAUGGAAAGGGCCCCGAAUUACCCACAAGCCAUGUGAAUGCUUAAGCAGUCAUGGACCACAAUUCUCACCACACACACACACACACACACACACACACACACACACACACACACACAGGUCUGAACCCUUACCCCUGUCUACUACUUAUUGGAGCUUGGUAGAAAAAAAGUUGUGAGUGACAGAAAAGUGAGAAAAAGAGAAGAAGAAGAAAAAUUGGAAAGUGUGGAAGAAAAAGUGGCAAAUGCAAGCAGCCCUUAAUGGAACUGUGCUGAAUUGAGAGACAGCAGAAGGUAACAGCUGGCUGGGACUUGGCCAUGAAAGGUGGAAUGUGAGGAGACAAAUGAAAUGGAAAUGCAGGAAAGAAUGGAGUGGCAAAGGAGGCUGGAGAUGGGGCAGAGGAUAGCAAGGGGAGAGAAGGAAGCACAGAAAGGGUGUGGGGGACAGGCCAGAGAGUAGAAGGCUAGAUGGAACUGACUGAUGCCACCAGUCAGAGAUGGAGACCAUUAACAAUGUGUAGGGAAACCCCUGCCUUCCCAAUAAUGAAAAUGCAGGUUUAAUCAGUACCAAGGAACACUGUGAAGUAAGGGCAUUGACUUGGGAAGUGAAAGCCGAAGAUAGAGCAAACCCCAUACGGCAUAUCCUAACUCGCCAUUUUAACAGCAGAAAGACUCGAAAAUACAAAGCAAAGGAUUAUCCAAAGGGCUUUUUAAAAUAAUGCUUAAAAUUUUAAUCUUGUAAAUAUAUUUCCCUUCCCAGUAUGAAAAUAAUUCCGAGUAUAAUCUUUAUUUACUUUCCCCUUUUUAUUUUAGAAGAGUAAACAUAGCUUUAAGAAUUAAAAAAAUCAGUUAAUAAUCUGACUUUUAAGUCAGCUGUAAAAAUGUAAGUUUCUAGCUCUGCCACUUUUUAGUAGUGUGACUUUGGGCAAAUUGCUCAAAAACUCCAAAUUCUUGUUUCUUUACCUACAAAAAAGGGACAAUAAUACAUACCUCCUAUGAUAGUAGAAAAUUACGUGAAAAUAUACUCCAAGUAUCUCAGAGGGCUUGAUUUCCAGAAAGCGCCCAAGCUCAAUCAAUAGUGACGUUUACUAUCCACGCAGCCAGUUCUACUACUGGGAGUUGGUUGGUGCUGAUAAAGCUUUUUGUCAGACUUCUCACAAUUUCCAUUGUGAGAAGAUGUAGCUUCCAAUUAACUCUGUCACUGAUUGUUGGGUAACUUUGGGCCAAAUGCUGUUCCUUAAUGAAUGUGGGUGUGAAACUUAUUAAGAUUAAUGACUGUCACAGCUGUUAGCCAGAUGUUUACAUAAUUCCCUCUGUUUUACAGCAAUCAUAUCAGAGGAAAGGGGUUGAAUGAUAGAAUUAGAAAAAUAAGUACAAUAUUGUGGGAAUGAAUAAAUGUUGUUUUGGAGGGUAGGAGAUUAAAAUCCUAAAUGUAUUUUGAUUAGGCUAAUAUUAAAAAUUAGCAUCUGUAAAUCAGUAAUCUAAUUGAAGGAAUUUUUUAACACAAGUGACUGGUGGAGGGGACACAGCAUGGGAGGGCAUGCUUACAGCAAGAGCUCCAUUGAUUAAAUAGUCCCCUGCAGAACACAGAGAGUUAAAUACGUCUUUAAUAGCCUCCAGCAUGAAAGGGCAAAUCAUUUGUUUUAAUUGAGGAAGGAUAAAAUAUUUUUGCUUUACACAUAUAUGUUCUAUUUUAGCAUCAUAGUUAUUUUUAUAGCUGUUAUAACUUCACAAAACCUAAUAGGAAAAUAAAUCUGAAUCCAGAAGAGUUCAAUACUUUCCAGAGGAGUCUAGUAAAUAAAAACUCUACACUGACUGACUGAUCUUAUUCAUGCACUGCUCCUAAACCCAAACUCUCAAGUGAAGGGAAAAGAGGUUAAUUCGUUGGAAUAAAUUCAUGGGAUUUUUUUUUAAAGACACAUCCUGAAUCAAAGUGAUUAAAACAACAAAUGGAUAAAGGGUAGAGCUGUGAGAGGACAAGGUUUGCAUUACUGAGCAUCUUGAUUAUGUGGGGAAGAUGGGAAACAGAUCUUGCCCAUUCUGGUCUCAAACUACUAAAUCCUGAGAAUGCCAAGAGGCGAGUCACUGAAGUCAGAAGUUGGAAACAUGGCUAAGCUGUCCAGAGUGUGGAACACAUGGUCUCUGAAGGUUUUUAUUAGUGUGUGGGUGAGAGUUCAGAAGCUCUACUAAUUACUUUUGUUUUCAGAAUUUAUAAAGUUAAGACAGAAAGCGGAAUAUUAACACUUCACUUCCUCGUGCAGUCAUUAAUUUACUCACUUAGCAUACAUUUAUUCAUAGAAGCUUAUUGGUACCAAGUAUACCCUCAAUGAGCAACCAACCCAAAAUUGCAAAAGGGAGAUCAAACAGGGAAGCUGUGGUAGGAAGUAUCAUGGCCUCUUCAAAGAUGUCUAUAUACUAAUCACAGAAUUUAUGUAUAUGUGAUGCUGUAUGUCAAGGGAAGAUUAAGGUGUGCAGAUGGAAUUAAGGUUGCUAAUCAGCUGACCUUAAAAUAGGAGUACUAUCUUGGAAUAUCUGGGUGGGCUCAAUGUAAUCACAAAUGUUCUUAACAGAUAGAAGAAGAAGGCAGAGGAGUCAGUGUUGGAGUGAUGCCAUGUGAGAAAGACUCAACUGGCCAUUGCUGGCUUUGAAAAUGGAAGGAGGCAUAAGCCAAGGAAUGAAUGCAGGUGCCUCUAGAACCUGGAAAAAGCAAGGAAACAAAUUCUCCUCUAGAACCUCCAGAAGGAAUGCAUUCCUGCCAACACCUUGAUUUUUAGCUCGGUGAGACCCAUGCUGGACUUCUGACCUGCAGGAUUGCAAGAUAAGAUAUUUGACUUAUUUUAAGAUGCUAAGUUUGCAGUAAUUUGAUAUGGUAGCCAUCGGAAACUAAUACCGAUGCCAAAGCAGUAAAGCAGGAAAGCACUCCAAAAUCACAGGAGUGAGAGGAGCAGAAAUGUCCUAGGAGAAGACAAUGUUUCCUUUUGAAAAGGAAAGUUUACUGGCAACUUCCAUUUGAAUUUCUUAAUUUCUUUCCUCAGUGGCAGUCACUACUUCCAAGGUGGCAGGUUCCAGAGCUGAUUCAUUAUAUAAUCUUUUCUCAGGAGUAUUCUAGCCACCUUUAAAGAAGCUAGGGCCAUUUUCCUGACACUGCAUCAAGGGGUAAGGUUAGUGGUAAAGAAACCAUGCGGUAGGAAAGGCCAACUUUCUCCCUACAUAAUCCAAUCGCAUUAUCUCCAGACUUGCUCACCCUCUGCUCUUUGCAUACUGCAGCUCCAGAGCUUUCAUACCUACAGACUUCCUGGAGUUAAGACUAAAACAAGAGUUGUGCUACAGACUACCGUUCCUAUUAUCAUUUUUUGUGUCCUGCUGAGUCCUCCCCUCUUGGCAACUUCAGGACCACCCACUGGGAAGAUAAUAUACAACCCAUCAGGAAACUCCCAGUGCCCAUCGUGGAGGCCAAGUGCUGCCAACUCUGAUUGCUUCUGGAAUGCCAUUUCUUCCCUGCCCUUUCAAUAUUCUUGUUAUGCGACUCCUAUGAUCACUGCCAAUCUGUAGAAAAUUACAGGAUGAAUUUUUGUGAAGGACUGAAUUUGCAUACUGGUCUUUUGUUGUUUAUUGUUGGGGGGAUUUUGCUUUUUGCACACAAUUUCUGCACAUUUUAUUGGAAGUUAUUGGGUUAGAUUCAUCCCAUUCAUUCACUAGCCUGGCAUUGCUAUGCAUGUGCUGUAGGGGCUUAGCAUUAAACGAUUUUCUUUGUUCAGAUUUGGAUUGCUGUCUCUGCUUGCAAAUUAUUUUUCACAAUGACUCCUUCUUUUCCUUCUCUCUCUCUCUCUUUCUCUCUCUCUCUCUCUCACACACACACACAGACACACACACACACACACACACACACACACACACACACACACAGAUGAGGUUAGAUAUUUUUCCAUUGCCAAGUUCAGGACCCAUGAAUAC
rnacentral:lncRNA from 1 species